GACGAACGCUGGCGGCGUGCUUAACACGUGCAAGUCGAACGAUGAACCCGGAGCUUGCUCCGGCGGAUUAGUGGCGAACGGGUGAGUAACACGUGAGUAACCUGCCCUUGACUCUGGGAUAACUGCUAGAAAUGGUAGCUAAUACCGGAUACGACCCUCGGUGGCAUCACCAGGGGGUGGAAAGAAUUUCGGUCAAGGAUGGACUCGCGGCCUAUCAGCUAGUUGGUGAGGUAACGGCUCACCAGGGCGACGACGGGUAGCCGGCCUGAGAGGGUGACCGGCCACACUGGGACUGAGACACGGCCCAGACUCCUACGGGAGGCAGCAGUGGGGAAUAUUGCACAAUGGGCGCAAGCCUGAUGCAGCAACGCCGCGUGAGGGAUGACGGCCUUCGGGUUGUAAACCUCUUUCAGCACCGACGAAGCGCAAGUGACGGUAGGUGCAGAAGAAGGACCGGCCAACUACGUGCCAGCCGCCGCGGUAA
rnacentral:rRNA from 1 species